CCUACGGGAGGCAGCAGUGAGGAAUAUUGGUCAAUGGGCGCGAGCCUGAACCAGCCAAGUAGCGUGAAGGAUGACUGCCCUACGGGUUGUAAACUUCUUUUAUAAAGGAAUACAGUGAGGCACGUGUGCCUUUUUGUAUGUACUUUAUGAAUAAGGCUCGGCUAAAUCCGUGCCAGCAGCCGCGGUAAUACGGAGGAUCCGAGCGUUAUCCGGAUUUAGUGGGUUUAAAGGGAGCGUCGAUGGGUUGUUAAGUCAGUUGUGAAAGUUUGCGGCUCAACCGUAAAAUUGCAAUUGAUACUGGCAGUCUUGAGUACAGUUGAGGUAGGCGGAAUUCGUGGUGUAGCGGUGAAAUGCUUAGAUAGCACGAAGAACUCCGAUUGCGAAGGCAGCUGACGAAACUGCCACUGACAUUGAUGCUCGAAAGUGUGGGUAUCAAACAGGAUUAGAUACCCCAGUAGUC
rnacentral:rRNA from 1 species